CUGAUACUCCCUCCGUAAAAAAAAAAUCUCAACUUUGUCAAAAUUUGAAUGUAUCUAGACAUGACUUAGUAUAUAGAUGUAUUCAAAUUUAAUCAAAAUUGAGAGGUCCUUUGUUAGACGGAGGAAGUAUCAU
rnacentral:pre_miRNA from 1 species